GUUCGUGGAGUAAUUUGUCUGGUUAAUUCCGUUAACGAACGAGACCUUAACUUGCUAAUUGGGAUGUAUAUUUAAUAUAUUAUCCCUCUUAGAAGGACCAUGUGUACAUAACACAAGGAAGCGUGAGGCAAUAACAGGU
rnacentral:rRNA from 1 species